AACGAACGCUGGCGGCGUGCCUAACACAUGCAAGUCGAGCGGGAAAAUUCCCUUCGGGGAGUGAGUACAGCGGCGAACGGGUGAGUAACACGUAGGUAACCUACCCUGGAGACUGGGAUAACCUGCCGAAAGGCGGGCUAAUACUAGAUAAGACCACGAGAGCCACGGCUCUUGAGGUAAAAGGUGGCCUCUACUUGUACGCUACCACUCUGGGAUGGGCCUGCGCGCCAUUAGCUAGUUGGUGAGGUAACGGCUCACCAAGGCUGAGAUGGCUAGCUGGUCUGAGAGGAUGGCCAGCCACACAGGGACUGAGACACGGCCCAGACUCCUACGGGAGGCAGCAGUGGGGAAUCUUGCGCAAUGGGCGAAAGCCUGACGCAGCGACGCCGCGUGGGUGAUGAAGGCCUUCGGGUCGUAAAGCCCUGUCAAGAGGGACGAAACCUCGUCGACCUAAUACGUCGGCGACUUGACGGUACCUCUGAAGGAAGCACCGGCUAACUCCGUGC
rnacentral:rRNA from 1 species